rnacentral:misc_RNA from 1 species
AAGUCGUAACAAGGUCUCCGUAGGUGAACCUGCGGAGGGAUCAUUAAUAGAGAUGGGUGGCACCCCCCGCGUCCCCCGUCCCCCAACCCUUUGUUGACCAAACCACUUUUUGCCUCGGGGGGUAGAGCGGCCUCCGCCGCCCCCCGGUGGACCAACCAACCCUGUCUCUGUACGUCGGAGUCUUUGAUAAAUAAAUGAAAA